rnacentral:rRNA from 1 species
GCGAAAGCGAAUCCUAAGAGGGUGUCAAGUGGCAUGUCCUGGACCCGAAGCGGGGUGAUCUACCCAUGGCCAGGUUGAAGCACGUGUAAGAGCGUGUGGAGGACCGAACCCACCUAGGUUGAAAACUGGGGGGAUGAGCUGUGGGUAGGGGUGAAAGGCCAAUCAAACUCCGUGAUAGCUGGUACUCCCCGAAAUGCAUUUAGGUGCAGCGUCGGUUUAGUUUUAUAGAGGUAGAGCUACUGAUUGGAUGCGGGGGCUUCACCGCCUACCAAUUCCUGACAAACUCCGAAUGCUAUAAAAUGUUAAUCAGCAGUGAGGGCAUGGGUGCUAAGGUCCAUGUCCGAGAGGGAAAGAACCCAGACCAUCAGCUAAGGUCCCCAAAUGUAUGUUAAGUUGAA